rnacentral:rRNA from 1 species
UACGGGGGGAGCAAGCGUUGUUCGGAUUUAUUGGGCGUAAAGGGCGUGUAGGCGGUCUGUUAAGUCUGAUGUGAAAGCCCCGGGCUCAACCUGGGAAGUGCAUUGGAAACUGGCAGACUUGAGUACGGGAGAGGGCAGUGGAAUUCCCAGUGUAGGAGUGAAAUCCGUAGAUAUUGGGAGGAACACCGGUGGCGAAGGCGGCUGCCUGGACCGAUACUGACGCUGAGACGCGAAAGCGUGGGGAGCAAACAGG